UGAACCAUUUUUGCUAUCAUUUCCUUACCAGCUAUAAUAUUACUACACGACUAGUAACAACGAUGAUGGGUGAGCGGCAAACGACGCAGAUGCUUUCAGACAUCAGCGCGCCCGUCAAAUGUUUUCGAAUGGGAACUAUGCGUGAGUGGUUCGGUAGUUCUUCCAAGGAAAAACACAACGAUCUGACUUGUUAGCUAACCAUUUUCUUUUUUGUCCAGAAAGAUUAUGCUGACGGCAGUCUUUAUCAGCGACGAGAUGCACAGACGAACAAAUGGACGGAUGGACAGAGAGACUGACGGAGCUGCACGUAAAUCAGACCAAACAAGAUGCCCGUACUUGACUGAAGUGAAUUUAAUCAAAUCAAAGAAUAGGAAAAUGGCUGUCACGAGGAUAGCGAUACCAAUAACAACAACGAAUGCAGCAGCAGAAACAGCGUUAUCGGAACGAUUUCCGAUAAUCUAAGAACGUGCCCAACAUUUACGUCUUCCGAUGCCUGCUUCCAUUCUCCCCAGCCCGAAAUCGACUCGUUGCAUUGGGUUGGCAACACCAAUCAGUGAGCGCAAGCCAGGCCAGCGACAUUUGCACGCUAAGUGGCCCCACAAGUGGCGUGAUUACGCCAUACAACAAGCUCAAACUUAGCGCAACAAGCAAACAAAGACUAGCGGCGGCAAGCGGGUGGGACCUUCGUGUUUUCUGGAUGCCGUUCUCCAUGUUCUGGGCCAACCGGUCCCACCGUCGGAGCAGAAGCAGAAGCUUUCCGGCGUUGCGUCCACAGCCCCCACGGAAAAUCAUGUUUACGAACUACUUCGCUUUUCGCGGAUGUCGCCGGUUUGCGGGCUGUUAUCAAGUCGACGUCCCACAUCAGAAGUGGUCGUCAGUCGCCGUUGAUCGCCAGCUCGUUCGCUCGGCCGGCUGUGCGGUCUGUCUGUUCGUGGCUACAACAGUAGCAGACGUCAGCAGAAACGUAACAGCAGCGAUGUCGAUGAGUGUACUUAUAUCUACGGCACCGUCAGCUCUGCUAUUCCGUCCGUCUGUGUCUGCUCGUGCGUACGUGCGUCUGUGUGUGUGGAUCCGUAUCAGCGUUGUACGCUCACCGGCCGAGUCUUCGGUGUGACUGGAGGUCGAGCCAAGGUCGAAAUGCAACGCAGACAACAAAUGACGGCUGCGACGGAGGUAGCGUAACGCAGACAGAACGAUUUUUGCCCGGAUCAAAUAAAACAAGGAUACGCACUCAUGAGGGUAGUGAGGUAAAACAGCGGCGUAGAACAGUGCGCUUGUGGUUGUAUCUAUUAUUGUUGCUACAAUUUCGCCUGACAUGAUAGGACAGUGUCGAUUGUCGACGCCAUGAGACCAACUCGCCUUCGGCUACGUGGUGACGCUCAUUGGCCAUGUAUUACAUAACGCGCCAAGAACAAUACAAUAACUAGGACAAAAAAAAAUACACGCCCUAUAAAUAUAGCAUACGCAUGCAUCGACAGAUAAAACAGCGGAGCCACUUGACCGAAAGGGACUAUUUAUGGGUGAAGUAUUGAACUGAUA